rnacentral:snRNA from 1 species
GGAUGUGAUGGCAAUCUGGCUUCGACACCUGUCACCCCAUUGAUCACCAGGGUUGAUUCGGCUGAUCAGGCUGGCUAGGCGGGUGUCCCAUUCCUCCCUCAUGGCUCCAUGUGCGUCCCUCCAGAAGCUGCAAUCUCGGUCGAAGAGGACGACCUUCCCUGAUAGAGAAGAGGACCGUUCUUCAGUCAGGGUAUACGAGUAGCUGCGCUCCCCUGCUAGAACCUCCAAACAAGCUCUUAAGGAUUAGGGUCAGGAUCAGGGUUAGCUUUUGGGUUAGUAUUCUGGUCAGGCUCAAGGUCUGGGUCA